ACCGAGCGCGUGCAUAUGUGGUUCGUAAAAAUCGGAGCUCGUAUGCGAUAGUUAUAAGCGAAAUAGUAAAGUUACUGUUUACGGUUACUGUUCAUGGUAAGUUUCUAUAAAUAGCCAAGUUACUGUGGUAAGUUUCCAUUUUUGGAAACUUACCCGGCCUUUUCUCUCUCUUCUCCCCCGACAUUUUCUUCCUCUUCGGCCCGAUUUCUUCUCCCUCCGGUUUCUUCCUUCUCCGGCCGACCCACGACGGAAUCCGGGCACCGGCAGGUUCGCCUCCUCCUCCUUGUCACGCCUGGGGUGGUGUUUGGCGGUGGCUCGACCGGUGGAGCUCGGAAUUGAGCUGUGAAGGUUACUGUAGCCGAUCGGAACUUUCAUCGAUUUCCGGCGAUUCCGGCCGUUUCCGGCCACGAAAUUGGCAUCGAAGGGUUCUUGAGAAAUUUCUGGGCUUGUGUUCAUCGGCCGAAUUGGAGCUCUUUCAGGACGUUGUUGCGAGCUAUGGCUAGAUGAAGGAACUCGUUUGUGUGGUCGCCAAUAGUACUGUGAGUGGACGUUUGUUUUUGAAUAUUGAUGCAUGCAUUUAUUUUUCGAAUUAAUGUUUUAUUAAUUACCAUAUUAUUUUAGUUUCGGAUACGAUUUCGGUUUUGGAAUAUUACUUGGAUUUUCCAUCAUGAUUUUUGGAACGUGAGUUUUAUCCGCUCGGAUUUGAACUUGUGAUUUAAGUGAUUUUCGACGAAUUAUUUUCCGAGGUGAUUUCCGGAAAUUUAUAAUACAUUUCUUUUCGUCGAUAUUGAGAAUUUUGAAUAUUUUUCGAAAUGGGAUUUCGAUGGAAUUUGGCAUUUGGAAUGUCUUGUUGAUGAUUUCAGAUUUGGUUUAUGAUUUCGAGAAUAUUUUUGGCGUGCGGGGUCACGUCAUUGGCAUAUGUAUUUUCUCGUGAGAUGAUGGGGAAGCCUUAUUGAUUUUCGAGUUUUCAGAUGGAUUUUAACCCACCAUACCUGGGUCGUUAUAUUUAUUGCUAGCUAGCCUAUUAGUACUCCUCCCUGCUUACUAUGUGUUUGUGGGUGAG